rnacentral:rRNA from 1 species
CGAACGCUGGCGGAGUGCUUAACACAUGCAAGUCGAACGGAAAGGCCCUGCUUGCAGGGUACUCGAGUGGCGAACGGGUGAGUAACACGUGGGUGAUCUGCCCUGCACUUCGGGAUAAGCCUGGGAAACUGGGUCUAAUACCGGAUAGGAGCCAUUUUUAGUGUGAUGGUUGGAAAGUUUUUUCGGUGUAGGAUGAGCUCGCGGCCUAUCAGCUUGUUGGUGGGGUAAUGGCCUACCAAGGCGGCGACGGGUAGCCGGCCUGAGAGGGUGGACGGCCACAUUGGGACUGAGAUACGGCCCAGACUCCUACGGGAGGCAGCAGUGGGGAAUAUUGCACAAUGGGCGCAAGCCUGAUGCAGCGACGCCGCGUGGGGGAUGACGGCCUUCGGGUUGUAAACUCCUUUCGCUAGGGACGAAGCUUUUUGUGACGGUACCUAGAUAAGAAGCACCGGCUAACUACGUG